CGGCCGCAGUAUCCUGACUGUGCUAAGGUAGCAUAAUCCCCUGCCUCUUAAUUAGAGGCCAGUAUGAAUGGACAAACGAAAAUAAAACUGUCUCUAUAUAGCCUAUAAAACUUUAUCUUUAGGUGAAAAAACCUAAAUAUGACUAAAAGACAAAAAGACCCUGUAGAGCCUAACUUAAACUGGUACUUAAAGCACCCUAGCUCCACUCUACCACUAAAGUCCAGAUGGGGCGUCUAAGGGCCAACAAAAUCGCCCUCUUUCCAAUAAAAUCUACACAUUCUGACCCAUAACCAUGAUAAUAGAACCCGGUUACCUCAGGGAUAACAGACUAAUCUUCCUUAAGAGCCCAAAUUGACAGGAAGGCUUGGCACCUCGAUGUUGGCUUAGGAGCCCAGGGGGUGCAGCAGCUCCCUACGGCAGGUUUGUUCAACCUUUAAACCCCUACGUGAUC
rnacentral:rRNA from 1 species